GCCGCCUUAGCUCAGCUGGUAGAGCAACACUUUUGUAAAGUGAAGGUCCCCGGUUCGAGUCCGGGAGGCGGCUCCA
rnacentral:tRNA from 1 species